GUUACUUUAUAUAUAUAUUGGAAGUGAUAGAUGUUAUAAUUACGUUCUAGGGUAUUUGAGGAUAUAAGUACAAACAUUUACCACCUUAUUCCAAAUGCAGGCAUAUUUUAUGUUAUAUUUUAUAUAUGUUACAAUUAUACCAGGUUACAGGUUUGUUUAUUGUCAUUCCUGAUCCCCGGACUGUGUGUCUGUGUAUGUGCGACUAGUCCCAGUGCACAGGUGGCCACGCCUUUAGGUCACAUUUUAUACAGUUGAUGGUCAGGACUAGUACGCCUUGCCGGUUUACAACCUAUCUAACUGUCUAACUAACAGUUAUUGUCAACUUGAGAGGCUAGCUUAGCUUGGUAGUCAGGCUACCUAGUGCGUGGGUGCUUAUUGUUUGUGUGAGUGCAAUAAAAGUCCAUAAAGUUA